CCUACGGGUGGCAGCAGUGAGGAAUAUUGGUCAAUGGCCGGAAGGCUGAACCAGCCAUGCCGCGUGAAGGUCAGUGCCCUAUGGGCGUUAAACCUCUUUUGUGCGGGAGCAAUAAUGGUCACGUGUGGCCAGACGAGAGUACCGUACGAAUAAGCAUUGGCUAACUCCGUGCCAGCAGCCGCGGGUAUACGGGGGAUGCAAGCGUUUAUCGGGUUUAUUGGGUUUAAAGGGGGGGUACGCCGGGAGGUAAGUCAGCGGUGAAAUGCCCCCGGUCAACGGGGUGCAGGGCCGUUGAUACUGGCUGGCUUGAGUGCGAAUGACGUAGGAGGAAUGUGUGGUGUAGCGGUGAAAUGCAUAGAUAUCACGCAGAACCCCGAUUGCGAAGGCAUCUCACGGAUCCGCGAUUGACGCUGAUGCACGAAAGCGUGGGUAUCGAACAGGAUUAGAUACCCGUGUAGUC
rnacentral:rRNA from 1 species